AAGACUUCACAAUGGUUUGAUAACCAUGUGCAGGAUGCUGACUUGAGCCUCUUCCAAUUCUCUAGUAACCUCACUGGCCAGGCAGGGCUCAAUACCUCUUCACCUGUGGCAUGGUUUCUGAUCAAGUUUGGUGUCACC
rnacentral:lncRNA from 1 species